GUUCUUGUAACUGUAUUUCGGUUGCGAGGAAAUAUACCGCCUACCAGGGCCCAAAGCGACAUCAACAACGGUACCGAGGGAUGUCAUACUCCGGUGCGCCACAACACAAAACAAAAUACUCAUAAUGUCAGCACUAAAGGGCAAACCCCCCUGCAAUUCAAAGAAGCAUCCCUGACGUUUUACCAGGAUCUCACAAAGGCAACCCUCCAGUGGCGUAAAACGUUCCAACCGGUGACUAGCCAGCUUCAGUCAGCCAACAUAAGCUACAGAUGGGGAGCGAACGGGUUCCUGACAGUGACCAGAAAUGGCGGCAUACACAUACUUCCCUCAAUGGAAGAUACCUCACCAUUCCUGACGGUCCUGGGCCUGACACACUUACCGGAUAACACAGGACCGAGAGCCUCCACAUCAGUCUGGGCCCCGGCACACGCAAAGCCCUUCGUCCCAAGAUCGAUGACUGCAAGAACAGCGGACCGGAUUUAAACCUCAGGAAAGAUCCAACGUGAGACGGCUGCUCGACAGGAAACCCGCCAGCCAUACCUGCUGGGUUUAAGCUCGCCUUGGGACUGUCAAUUCAGGACUUUACUAAGGACACGACUUAGAUACCAUAUAACCCCAUGUUCUCCCAGUUUCUCCCUCC